GGAUGACUUCCAUCAUGCGAAUACAUUUAACACCUUCAAAGCAUGAGAAAACAUGAGAAUAUGAGCUAACAUUUAUCUCCGAAGAAAUGCCACGGUAGCAACACGUGAUCCCACUGAUCCACCAAACAUGAAUGUGGGAUAUGUUUGAACAUGAUUGAGAUACUGGAAUGCGGAAGGAUCUCCAGAUACUUGAUCCUUCUGAGUCUCUAAUCCUUGGGACAUACUAGUCCUCUGGUUGAAAAUUUCCACUUCUUGCAACAGUUCAUCCUUUGUACUCUUACACGAUGUGAUCACCAAUAUUCCACCAGAUGCAAC
rnacentral:misc_RNA from 1 species